rnacentral:rRNA from 1 species
CACGUAGGGCGCAAGCGUUGUCCGGAAUUAUUGGGCGUAAAGAGCUCGUAGGCGGACUGUCACGUCUGCUGUGAAAACCUGAGGCUCAACCUCAGGCCUGCAGUCGAUACGGGCGGACUUGAGUACUGCAGGGGAGACUGGAAUUCCUGGUGUAGCGGUGAAAUGCGCAGAUAUCAGGAGGAACACCGGUGGCGAAGGCGGGUCUCUGGGCAGUAACUGACGCUGAGGAGCGAAAGCGUGGGGGAGCGAACAGG